GACGGAAGGUGCAAGCGUUGCUCGGAAUCACUGGGCGUAAAGGGUGCGUAGGCGGCCGUGCAAGUCUGGCGUGAAAGCCCCGGGCUCAGCCCGGGAAGUGCGCUCGAAACUGCGCGGCUCGAGUGCCGGAGGGGAGAGUGGAAUUCCUGGUGUAGCGGUGGAAUGCGCAGAUAUCAGGAGGAACACCGGUGGCGAAGGCGGGUCUCUGGGCAGUAACUGACGCUGAGGAGCGAAAGCGUGGGGAGCGAACAGG
rnacentral:rRNA from 1 species